UCUCCCCGAGCGUGUCCUGCCUUCAUUUCCGCUGCCGGUGACUGCGCGCGCGACACAUGACGCGCCGCCGUCAGGGGAUGCCUCCUCGGAAAGCUCGCACCCACCCCUCCCCCCCGGGUGUCCUUCCUCUUCUUCCCCGCCGGUGCCUCCGCCACGACCACCGCGGGAGGAGGCGAGGAGGUGCAUCUCAAGGCGCCGCAGUCGGAGCACAUAGCGGCGGUGAAGAAGGACGCGUCCGGGUGGCGGCUCUGGCUCUCCGACGCAUCCGGCAACGCGCUCCAGGGCUGGGCACCCCGUUGCUCCGUCGCCUUCCACAAGAUCGAGAAGAUUGUUAUCCUGAUUUAUAUCCAGUACCAUUUCCUUACUGAUCAAUGACAAGUAAAAACAGUACUAAGACAAAUACAAUUCUCCUUCCAAGUGACGCUGGCAGCCCGGCAUCUUUCGUAUCCUAGGCUCUCAAGAUAUACCAGCAUACUAUUAAGUCCAAGCCCCAGAUGGGAGCUGGCCAUGCCCUACAAAAGCUGGAGGAAUCCGAAGGAGAGACCGAUCCUGCUACCCUACGUUCUGAGACUAGCAACAUGCCCCUACUCUCCCCGGAAGCAGAUCCUGGAAAGACCUUUUCCCUGCAGCGCCGCAAAAACAAGCAUUAAGUUGUGCUUGAGUACCUGAAGGAAGCCCUUUUUUGUCUAUUGUUCUGCAAACAUUGAGAAGUGUCACUGAGAACACCAGUAGCCACUAUGGCAAUGGCUAAACAUGGUGCUUCUCUCUCUUCCUCCACUGCUGUUGCAAAGAGUUUAAUAUAAAAGAGGUCAAUAAAACAACUCAUUACAAAGCCAAACGAUGUAAUGUCAAGUUUAUUAAAUACAAAAGCUGGACAGUAAAAUAAGAAAAUUUGACAUCAUAUUACUAAAUUCUUCUUAUCAGCUAUGUAAUGUCAAGUUUUAUAUAUUCAUAUAUUUAUGUUCUUAGUCUCUUAUGUUUCUUUGCAGCUCCCUAAGAAGAUCUUAACAUAUGAAAUGACAGCAUGAUGACAUCCUUUUGUAUAUAAAGACUGCAUUUUGGUGGAUGCGGUUCCUCUGCAGUACUGCAUAGUGCU